rnacentral:sRNA from 1 species
UUGACUUAGAAAUGAGAAUCGUUAUGAUUAUCACAACUGAUCGCGAGAUCGGUUGGAUUCUCUGGAAGGCCCUGGUUCGGACUCUCAGAUUAUCUCCUCAUCAGGCUAAUCACGGUUAUUGACCCGGCUUUUUGCCGGGUCUUUUUUUG